CGCGGCCGGCCCCGGGGCUGCUCGCUCGGGGCCGUUGCGGAGCGGGCGGGCCCCCUCGGUGCGCCGGCGUCCCGUCCCCGCUCCUUGCUGGGAUCAGCAGCGCGAGGUGCCCGCUCGUUCACCCUCUGCCAGAGGCGCAGUUUACAGAAGCUCUCUGGCUGCGAGCGGUGCCAGGCCCUGCUGAGGGCCAGGGUUUCCCAAAUAAGGCGCCGAGCGUGCCGUGUUCCGUUGGAACCCCGCUAGGCUGCCCUGGCCCCGGGCCGCGCCGAGGUAACGCCGCGGCCUUUUAAGGAGUCGGCAGCACGAGGGGGUGAUGGACGAUCGUGCUCUUAGGAAGGAGCCUCAGCGGUGAGAAAGAUGAAGCUAUAGUGGAGAUUACAGUAAAGAAGUAUAAGUAAUUAAGUUGUAAGGAAAAAUAUACCCCACUCUACUGAUGUAAAUUUGGAAUAUUUUGAGCAACACUGUUCUUCUGACACCUCUGCAAAGCCUUACAACGCACCUGCUAGAAUGAAGCUGGCACCAAGCCGCACAUACUGACAUGACCCUUUCCCAUUCACAUUCAGCCAGCCAGCCCGCAGGACAGGGUCGGCUGUGCAGCUGCAGAAGUCCUUUUCCAGCCAACGUGCCCACGUUGUGGCUUCUGCCACAGAACCACUGUCUCUGUGGAAAGAACAAUCAUCCUUGUUCAUGCUUUUGGAGAUGCUUCUUAAAUAUGUGUCAAAACCGAAUUGCUCAGGACACUGAACAGCCAUCAAGUCAGGAUGUUGUCAGUGAUGUGGGAACAAUGGCAACUUUGAAAUCCCAAGCGAAAAAAAUGCUGUGUGGCUGAGAGGCUCGUAUUAACUUUGUAGGGGGGCAGAACUCCCGGCUCUUUCUACAAGCCUGCUGCUGUGUUGCCAUCAGCAUCUUGAUCAGCACAGGGACAUCCUGGCCUGCUCAGCACAGCCACCGGGGCUGUGGGUGAAGACAUGGUGUGAAGCUCUCUGCCAGGCUGGCUUUGCAGGGUGCGUGGUAUUUUCCUGUCAGCUGGAUGUGAUUGUUUGCAUGGAGCCUUUGCUGAGAAGCCUUGGGAGGGAGAGAACAGAACUGAAAUGCACUUUUCAUCAACUCUGCACAUUCAUAUACAUCUGUGUACUCAGAAAAAUACCCAAUGGUUUAUGCUGCCAACAAAAACAGCUGUAUAUAAUGAGUAGCCAGUCCUUCCUAUAUACUACUCCAAUAUACUGCUCCCACAUGACCUACAGCAUAAAAAAUAUUUGUAGAAAGGACUUGGCAAAUAAUUUUCAGAAGUUAAUACAUCUGAAAAAAGGUAUGACAAAAUUUAACAAAACAAAAAUUGAAAUUAAUUAUUGGAUUUUACUUGAGGAAUUCUCUCCUUCAGAAAUUUAAGUUCACUGCUGUUCUAUUUUCCAAUCUUAUAUAUCAAUAGUAUAAUUCAUAAAUAGAGAUUUGAUUAUUCUGGUAUUCUUUUUUUAUCAUCUGUGGAAGAGUGGGUUUCAUUUUUAUGUUAUUUCUAGUGUAGAAGGAAUUUAUAUGUAUGUCUCUGGCUGUAUGUGUAUGCUCACAGAUAGUUAUUUUCCUUAUUUACAUUUACAAGAGAACUCUUCACAAUGUCUUUUGAAAGGCACUCAAAUUCUAUUAUUGCCUGUUUUGUUAGCUUAUUUAUGUACUGAAAUAGUUGAAGGAGGGAGCAGAUUUUCUUUAAAGAGACCGUACUUCUUUGAACAGUUGGCACUUUCUAUCUCAGUGUUGCACUGUGCUGCCCUUAAUAACUUCUCAAUAGUUUCCCACUAAAAUGUUUGUGAUUAUUAUAAAUGAAUGAUUUAUUACAGGUUGCAGUUACUUACUAUGGUCAGGUAUUGCAUGCAAUAUAUCUUUAGUUGACUGAAGCAAUGUACGCUGACACAAACUUUAUCCAAGUACACAUAUCUGUCUGACCUUUUUAUAACACAAAUCAAGGUAACAUUAGAAGCAAGAUUCAGAGAUUUAGGGAAAAAAAAAUAAGAAAGGAAUGGUAAAAGGUGGUAUGGAUUAUUUAAAACAAAAUGGGUUAUUUAAAACAAACAAACAAAUAUAUCCUGCCAGCACGAUGCUUCGAGGAGCAUAAUUAAUUUUUUUCUCUAAAAAGUUGCGAAAUAGUUUUGUCUGAUUUGAAGCAGCAUAUUUAGAAAUGCCUGGAUUUUACCUUGUGCUUCAGGUACCUUCUGUACCUGACUUACGGAUGAAGUGGGAAUCACUCAACUUUACCCACUAGGAGUUAUUGUAAUUAGUCAUUGACAAUUUCUUUGUCCUCAGGCUUAAAAAAUAGAUAUUGGGAUGGUGCCUCCCACUCACUUACUUUGGCCAGUGGUUACUUAAGGCCCAGUGACUCUGUUUCUUGCUGUAUGUGUGCUGUAAGUUAGUAUCAUGAAAGGGUCUUGAUUAUCUGUCAGCAGUUCAUGCAGCUAUUCCUUCUGAACCUUCAAUCAACAUAAAGCAUGAUCUAAGUAUAAUGGUCUGUGGUGAGUUUUUUGUUAUAUUUUGUUUUCAGUAAUUUAGGAUUAGGUCAGAUUCUGUGAAAGAUGAUGUACAAAUUAGACCAAAAAAUCAGUUUCUAAUUUUUGACAGGAAAAGACUACUUCACCACCGACAAUUUUGUUUCAUAUUAUUUUCACUUGACUAUAUCGUCCAAUAUCUGACACAUCAUAUUGGAUUUUCAGAUUUAGCUCAAGUUAGCUCCACUUUGAGAAUCUGUCCAAAGCUCCCUGCAUUUGCUCUUAAUCUCUAGGGAUACUUUAGGGAAUUCACGAUUCAGAUGGCUCUGUUCCUGACCUAUUAUUAUUAUUUGUGUAUCUUGUUUUACCUUUUUGAAAAUAGCCGUUGGCUAAAGCUUUUAGGCACAUCCUUCAGUGCUAAAAUAGCCUGAAGAUUUCAAGCAUUGCUAAAUUGCAUAGAUGUUGAGAUGAACAGGGAUUAGUAUAGUUCAGCCUUGACUGUAUAGGUCGAUGAAGAUUAUGUAUUGGUAGAGUAACAAACCAUAAAUAUACAUCCUUUGGUCAAAUCACAAUGCAGCUUAUGUAGACAACAACUCAGCAGUACUUUUUCCCAUUAGUAAACCACUGACCUUAGCCUCACUCUUAUGGUACCACCAUUCUCCAGUGUGGUAACGUAAUUCUAACUGGUACACAGCAUCUAUGCAGUACUGUGACUUUACCAAACGAAUGUACAAGCAUUUGUGUCUUGGAAUUCUUGGCCACUCCGCUUUCUAAAAGUAUCAAUAACUUUAUCUAUGAUAGCAGAUAGACAAUGAAUAUCUGUACUUAAGUAGUUGGACCAAAAAAUGCUGCGUCUAUUUCUAUAAAUCUCUAAAGUACACUGUUAAGUAGUUGCUACUAUAGUGUAAUCCUCUUGUAAUUGUAGUGCUUGCUGAAGGAAUGCAAAUUUUGCAGUUUAUAAGCAAAAUAAAAAACAGAGUGAGUACAGAUCAAUAGCUAAGAUGUAGAGACCUGAAUUCUGGAGUUGAUGCCGUGUACUGAUGCAUGAUCUCUCCCAUACUGCUCCAUGAAAUAUGCAUCUAUCUGGUUGCUGCUCUGCAGGAUGUUUUAAGCAUUAUAUGUCAGUAAAGCUUGUUGUUUGGAAUGUGUUUCAUAUCAACAGCAGCUGUAAUUUUGUUCAUUUUUCAGCAGUAGUCAGGAUUUAGGAACAUUAUCUCCUUUAGAGUUGGAUAACAAAUCCAUAGGGAGAAGGCAUUUUUACCUAUCUCAGAAGAUUGUUAUAUCUAGAUUUAUUACUGUCUGCAAAGAAAUGUGAGAUCUUGCAGGAGCAUCCUCUAGAAAUUUGAAUUUUCAGAACAUGUUUUGGCUAUUUUUCCACUUCUGAAUCAGUGCCCAAACCUUUCUCCUUCUUUUGAGAGUCUGUUUUCAUUGCUGCACCUGUCAAUCUCUUUGUUUUCCCUCAAAAUAAUGUGAUAAACUAAGAAAUCUUAAACCUUUCAGUUGCUGAAGUAUCUUCUUAGACAUGAAACUUUGCAAUGCCUGUUACUGCUUGGGUUAAGAAGAGGGGCAUUGUUGCUUAGAGAGCUCCCAUAAAUACUGUGUUGAAGCAUCUCAUAAAGAAAAAAUGCAUACUGGGAAAAAAUCAACAGUGAUUCAUUGAUUUCUCAAUACACUUCUGGACUGUCUGUUUUCAGCUUCUAAAUGAAUCAAUAUACAGUAAAGUUCCAAUCAUGAAGAAUAGCUACUGGUAUGCAGCAGCACAUCUUGUGGUUAUGACAAGGGAUGGAAGUUGAAUUGAGCUGUGUUCCUGUUGCUCAUUAAGCCAUGGACUCACUCCAUGGUCUUAGGAAAGCCACUUUGCUUCUUUGGCUCCUCAAUUCCUUCGUCCACCUUUUCUAGCUAAGACUGUGUGACCGAGUUAUCAGGGACUGUCUUUUGUCUUGUGACCUUUUGUCCUGCAGUGCCCAACUGAAUAGUCCACUGGACCCUUUGUAUCUGUGUAGAUCCCUCUUAUUGUGUCCAUUGCUGCUGUCCUCUAUGGGAGUUUCUAAGAUCAGAACACACCACAUAGCUUAGUGUUGAUGGGAUGUAUGUGGUCACCAGUCUCCUUCUUCCUGUAGCUAUUUCAGUCUCUUGAGUUCAGCUUUUGAUGAAAAAUAAGUUUAUCAAGUGUCUUUGUAGUCUAAAUUUUCCUCCUACAUUGAGGCUAAAUACAGCCUCAAACUAAUUAGUUUAGAUGUUUGGGUAGCUUAAGCCUAACCAUUCCCCUGAGUACAUCCCAUUUUGAAAUCAAUUUCAUAUGCAUAAAAGAUGUGAAAUGCUGUUGUGCAUCACUAGUUAUGUUGGUGGCAGUCCAACUGGAUGGCACUGGGGUGAAAUGGAUCAGCUUUGUGGCACUGCUUUAGGUUAGAGUUGUGGGUGAGCUCUGGCUACACCAUGUGGCUUUUGUAGUAUCUGCUAUAAAUAAACAACGAGCAGAGACGAUUUGUAGGUGGUAUUAGACAUCAGUUUUCCUGUAAUUGGAAUCCUGGAAAUGUUUACAACAGUGCUGCAAACACUUAUAUUGAAGAAUAGCCAGCUUUGCUGGAGAGUCUUCUCAUCUGCAGUACAUGCAGCAGAUAUUUCCCAGCUGGGUCAUGGUUAGGAAAAAAAUGUGACAUAGAAGUAGGGUAGUAUGUUCACUUUCACUAUUACGUUGGUUGCAAUAUAGAGGAGCAGGAGGGAAAAACAAAUUGCUUGGUGGAGUUAUCAGGCAGAUUAAUUCCUUGGCUUGACCACUUUUGCUGAAGUGCUUUCGCAGUGUUUGAAAAGCUACAGUCUGUGGUGAAUAAGUGAAAGGUCUUUGCAAAGAAGUAAUCAAACAAAAAGCCCACAGUUGAUCAGUUCUUGGUCACAUUUCAAACAAUCAAAAACACAGAGUGUAGGUUUUCAUCUGAUCUGGCAGUGCCUGGGUUUGCCCUGGCCAAUCUCUCUGAAACAAACAGCAGAAUCAAGGCCAGCAGUGAUCAACAGGAAAACUACAACUUUUAAAGAAAUGAAGAAUCCUGUAUAUUAUGUGUGGAGAGCACCGUUUGCCUUUUGGUAGACAAAUGCAUUGAGGGAUUACUUUCACCUGUAUACCACUGUACUGCCACUCAUUUUGCUAUUAAAUUGCUUGGAGAAGAACUUUCAGGUGUGUGAAUAGACUUCAUGAUGGAAUCCUAGAUAUUUCCAAGCUCAGAUACAUAUUUAUUUACCAAGAUUGGCAGUAGUAUGUAGCUUUGUGCAGACACAGAGGACCUGGUGAUCAAAACCUAGGUGUUGUGGUUUCUUGUGAGCAUUUUCCAGCAUGUUUUAUUGAUGUGCGUACUUUUCAAUGUACUCAGUAUUUUUCUUGGGAAUAAACAGAAAACAAAAACAAACAAACAAACAAACAAAAACCUGCUAUGAGUGUCAGUUGUCUACAAAAAGACAUAACUAAUUAGUUGACCACUCAGCCCCGGAAUGUAAUGCAGUUCCCCAGAGCUUGCAUUUCAGUAUUGUGCUCAAGCAUUUCAUUCUGUGCACUCACAUAUCUUCCCUUCUGCUGCUGCAAAGGUGCAACCUUAUUAAAAAUACACUUGAUGCUCCUGGAUACCUCAGUGGGAUUUUGUGUAGAAGAGUGAGUCAAAACCUUCACCUCAAGUGCUGGGAGACAGGUCUACCUCUUCAUAAAAUUUAAAGCUGGCAGAGACAAUGAAAAUGUUUAUUCCAACCAAGACUAGUACAUAACGCACAGUUUCUUAUGACCUUUCUAGUAUCUUUGGCUAAGAAGUUCUUGAUCUCAGAAAAACUCCAGCAGACAUCGGGUAUAAACCUUUUCCUUUGUAGCUGGUUCCAGCAGUUAGUCACCCUUUUCAUUUGAAGUGGCCUCCACCACUACUUACCCAUUUGUUUAGUUACAGUUUGUUUUGCUUUUCUGCAAGUAAGGAGGGUGAGUUGUUUUUGUUUUGUUUUGUUUUGCUGGCUUUUUUGUUUGUUUGAUUGCUUUUAAUUACACAGUUGUUGCUUUUUCUAUGGAAAGAAUAAUAGAAUUGAUUUAUAUUUAUGUAAUUUUUAAACAGGUUUUUUCCCUCCAGAAAUUCCGUUUUGUCAGCUGAAAAAGCAGAAUGAUUUUUUCAAACUAUUAACAAGCUAUAAAAUGCUGGCUUGUGUUGCACUAUUGAAAUUUAGGCUCUUCUCACUGUCCUCCCUGGAUUUUGGUAAAAGAGAUGUUUUAGACAGAAUAGCAAACUAGAUGCUCUAAAGCUUCUUUUAGGAAGACGUUCUCAAGUUGCACUUAAACCUUUUCAAUCAUUUUUGUUCUUCAUGAUAUAAUCUUUGAUUCUGCAGAAUUUUUCAUAUACUUAUUUCGUAUGUAUAUGAAGAAAGAAGUAAAACAAAGCCUGCCUGGAAACAUUCCAACAGAGAACUGCUAUAAGAUGUCUGUCCUGAGGCUCUAGGGUACAAAUUACUGCUGCACACCCUAGAAGCACUAGGGGCAAGAUGAUUGCUAUGGAAGGCCCUAAUGGGACACUCGUCCAGAUUUCCUAAACUGUCUGGCUGAACCAGGAUUUUGGCUAGCUCUUCUAACUAUUGGCUCUUAACAAAUUACUUGAGGUAGUUUGUUGAUUUGGUUAUUUAACUGGUUGGGGCAGGAAUACUGGAAAAUGUAAUGCAAGGGGAAGAACGACAGCACAGCUGUGCAAACAACACUAAGAUGUUCCUCAUGGCCCGUCCUCACUGAUUAAUAUCCCCUCCUCUUCACAGUUAGGGAACGUAGUAAGUUGUACACGUAUAAUGUGCAGAAAUAUAUAUAGUUCUGAUGUGGCUUAUUGUGAGCAUAAUUUAUUAAAGAUAAUUGAAGAGCACACUGAGGCUUGCUCUGUUACAGUCUUCAGGGUAUCAGCAGUAGUUUGAGGGCCCAAGAGGAUUUUAAACUAUGAUCAGCAUGACACAUGCCAGUAGGUGUAUCUUAAACAGAAGAACUGCCAUAGGGCUAUUUUUAGUGUGGCUAUCGGAUGGCUUAGGAUGGAAAAUUGCAGAGCUCUAUUUCAAAAGAUUCUAUGAAGCCAGAGAGGAUGAUCUCAAAAUAUAAGCAGUAUUAAGACUGUAACAAGCGUGAAUACAUUGUCAGAAAGAUGAAGGACAAUUCUUGAUAGUCAUGCAGGAGUGGGAAAGGGGAAGGGGAAGAUACUUUCCCCAGACUGUGGUAAUACAGUUUUGUUUCAGUGUUUGUUUGUUUGUUUUCCUUAUUGUUCACGGGGCUCAGUCCUAAUACCUUCCUAUUUACACCUGCACCAUGUAAUUCCCUCCAAGUUUAAAGCCUUUUCUGUACCAAGUUGGUAUGUUACUGUUGCAUAGAGUUCAAAGCUAGCAGCUGUAUAUUUUUAUAAUCAUUUAUACAGUUAAUGGCAAUCCUUGCACAGGAUUAUCUUCACUAACUGUGCAAAUAAAUGGAUGCCAUUUUAUUCUUCUUGUCUUAUGCAUAUUUUGAUCAGUAAAACAGGUUACUACUACUAAUGUAUGUGUAAGGCAAAAAAAAAGUCAGUAGAAGGUGCAUAAGAUAACUGAGACAUUCACUUGAAAAAUAGCAUUCAUAUACAAUAUACAAAUGCAUAGACACGUUGUGUAACUACACUGUAUUACAUGCUACUGAAGAAGUGUAUGCUGAAGAUUGUAAUGGGAGAACUAACUAUGCUUCAGAGCAUGACAUGUGGCUCCACGUUCUUAAUUUUAGUAGUAUCUAAUCUCUCUGUGGCAGUAAUGUCCCAGCUCGGUUUCCACAGUCAGGUGUAACUUCUUGUUAAUGUGUGGGCUGACUACAUGAGAGUAGGAAAAAACUAAAGAGGCUUAUUUGAAAUUCUUUCCCAAACUCAUGUAAAAGCACAUGUGAGGAUUCUUGCUUAGAAUUAAGAAAAAUGUCAGGUAAUUUGAGGGUAGAAAUUAAGUACUCCCUUGAUUCAUCAUUGCUGUGUAAUUGGCUGUGUUUUCUAGAAAAUGUUGUUGGUUUUCUGAGAUUUUUCUUCCAGUCUUGGAUGUGGAGAAAAAAUAUUGUUCCUUCUUAUUUGAAGACAUGGCCUUAAUAACUGAGAGACUGCUCAAGUGUAGUUCUGCAUAGAAGUUUAAUAGCUCAGCUGCAAUUCCUACAGUUUGCAGGCAGCAGUGUGGAAGGUUGCAGGCGGGUUAGGCUGUGGAGCAUCUGAACUCUAGUUCAUUAUAAAUAUUAUAUUAGUCAGAGCAUUAAGAGGGGUGAAAGGAAUGCAACUUUUUUUCCUAGCUGAGUUCUCUCUGAAAAUUGUACAUUUUGAAAGAUGGUAACGUGAUCUCCAUUUCCUGUCCAAAAUCUUUUACUGUGCUUCCUUGCUGAAAUCUCUGGCUCUUUCCUGUUUCUCAGUGUGCUGUGCACAGCGACUGUAUUUGUAAGUUUGCCAUUCCCUACCCUGAAGACUUUCUUGAUUAAAUGUUAGCACUUUUUUGUUGCCUAAUUUUCUUCCCUCUCCUUUGGCAGCUUUCCUCAGCUCCUGGCAGUUUCAGUUCUUUGUCCAGGCUGUGCAGUAAGAGAUAUUCUCAUUCUGGGUACAUUUCUCAGAAAGGACAACUUUUGUUGCCUCUCACAGAAGCCUCAUAGAAAUGUGCACAAUGUUUCCUUUUCAACCAGCAGCCUAUGUAAAUCUGUAGGACCCAAAGAAGGCUUCCUGCUAUCGAACUGUAGCAGAGGUGAAAUAUCUCUUUCAGCUCAACCUUCCAUUACAUACCAUAUUCAGCAAUUAAUUACUGAUUUAUUGCUGCUACACUGAGGACUGUUGAUAUGUUUUUUGGGUUUUUUUUUGUUUUGUUUUGUUUUUCCAGAUGCACUGUGCUGUGCUGCAGUCUUUAACGGCAGACAUUAGAUGACCUGAUUAAUGGAAUUAUGACAAAUAUAAAGUGCCUUUUGUACCUAACUAGUAGUAGGAUCAGUACUGACAUCAAUUUAAAUGAUAAUUUAUUAAGGAUAGGAUUAGUAAGAGCUCACUUUAGGAGUGAAGUUAGAAUGUUGCUCAAAAUCUCACCCAGAUCUCCCGUGACUUUUCUUCAGUUUGUCCUUAUGUUGUUGCACUCCAUUGGCCAUUCAGUAAUGGUUAAGGUUACAUGCUUGGAAUAAGGUUCUGAAUUAGAGCUGAUUUUUUUCAAAAAAUAGAUGUUACAAGUACUUACUACUGCCUUGCAGCUUUUAAGCUGCCUUAAAGACAGAAGUGCACCGCAUCUACAAUAGCAGCUGCUGUUUUCUCUUGUUCUAAGCAUGCAUUCUAUAGUGAUAUAUUCCUCUCACUGUGUGUAUCCAGUUUCCAAGUGAGCUGCUGAAGACUUAUCUCAAGGGGAGAUCUGUCCUGCUUCCCUGGGCCUUUCUUGACUAGAAAUCCAAGUGGAUUUUGAACACAAACAUCAGAAAUUCUGUUGCAGGAAUUCUUACCCCUCUAACGGGGUUGAAGUUUAGUUUGAAUUUUAAUAUUAUCCUAUUAGAUGCUAGCAUCUAAUAUGAAUAUUAGGUGGCUCUAAAAAAUAAAUAGCAUCUUCUUCCUUAUGGACAAGAUCAGUAAAGGUGAGUCAUUCUGAUAAAUAACUUCUAUCUAGUAACCUGGCUGCGCUACCAAUGUCCUUUUUUCCUUUCCUUCCUUCUCGCAGAUCAGUGAGACUCUCAUUUGAUACAGAUGAUAAGUAAAUGGCCCUUAAACUUUCACUACUAGGACUGUAGAGCUUCAAUUCAUAAACUUCAAACAAAUUUUAAAAGCCAACGAUAAAAUGAUUUUGGAGUUGAACUCAGGAUUAGAAGUAAUAAAUUCCAAAUGCAAGGUAUAACCAUGAAUGGGGAAAUAGGUUAGUUUUUUGUUGUUGUUGUUGUUUGUUUUUUGCUUUUUGUAUUUUAAAAUUAGGGAGAGGUAAAUCUGUUUUGGCAAGCAAUGACUGAAGCGCAGAAUUCAAGGCAAAUGACUGCAAAUACUUGAGGUACACAAACAGUGGUGAGUGAAGGGGGAUAAACAAACGAUACAAUGGAGAUUGACAGCUUGCAAAGGAAAGUUGAGCUGUUAUGCUCUGCUGAUACUGAACUGCAUUAGGCUGCAAACUGGGAGAUGGUAGAAUUGCUUCUUCAGAUGCAUAAUUAGCUUGGCCAGAGCACAUGAAAAUGUACAGUUGGGAUCAGUCUUGCUUUGGCCUGGAAUGUAACUAGCUGAAUCCAUGAUUAUUUUUUUCCUUGUUUCUAGAAUCUAUGAUGUCACUCUUGUGAGAACAUUUUAUGAUAGAAAAAAUAGAUAAAAUUCUUCCUCUGAUAUUUCUGUAAGGUUCUGCAGGGAUGGAAAGUCACUGUGCUGAGCUGUCAGAGUCCUGGAGAGUAAAACCUCCUUCUGCUAUGCAUCAUAGGCAAGGGCAGGCCAUGUGUGGGCUGAGAUGGUAAUUAGUUUUUAUAGCAUGUCUAUCUGUGGGUCUUUUUACAAUCUAUUGCCAGAAUAUACUAUUUUAAGAGGUGAGCAUAUGCCUGUUGAGGAUUGAUGUGAGAUCACCAGCUAGGGUCUUGCACGCCACCAAACAGCUGUCAGGAGAGAACACUGGGCUCCAGUCCCACACUGAAUUCCAUGCAGGCAGCCCCUGCACCCCUGCUUGUGGAUCCGCCCCUGCAGAGCUCGACGAGGGAUUCAAGCAGGCAUCAGGUUGUUCCCAGCAGCUGUUUUUCAUUGUGUGUGAAGGGAGAGGGCCCAUCUCUGAAGCAGGAUAUGGGCUGGUGACCUAAUGGUGAAAUAUAUUUUUUCCAGUGUCUUUGGAAAUGCCAGAAAGAGACGAUGGUGUUUCUGUAUACUUGCUUAAAUUUGCACUUUGAGUUAAACUCCCACAUGUCAAGCUUGGAGAGUACUAUCCUGAAGAACAAUGCACUGCUUGCUGCUCUGCUUUGCCUACGUCUUUGUCUCCCCAUCACAGGAGCUGUGUACCUCCAGCACAGAGCAUUCUCUGGGGUAAGAAUAACACAGAAUAGCCAAAAGAGGACAGAGCAGCCUUCACCCCAGUGCUACACAGCUGGGGCUCCUUGCCUGCUGCAACCCACUGGGCUGCAGCUCCUGUGAAAGACAGCUGCCUUCAUCCCCUCCUGCUGUUCUGCCACAUGUACUGCACAGAAUUCCUCCUGAGAGUCUUGCGUGCUGUGGGAUUCUGUAAGUUAUUCAAAAACCCUGUUUUGUAACUCAGUUUCAUGUGCAGAGAGCAGAUAUAUUUCAAGAUUGUGUCCUACACUAGGGAAAAUUUAACAAUUUCUUUGCCACCUUUAGAGUGCUCCGAAGUUACUGCCUGACCAGAGAGCAACAGAAAUGUGUAUGAGGGACUGAGAAUCCCAGUUUCAGUGGUGAUUUCAGGAGGUGUUUGGAGGAAGUGAGACCCCUACCAGGUCUUCAGCGUCUCUUAUCAGGUGAUAAAAGCCAGGUUGAAAAUCUAGCCUGAUCUCUACUGAUUUCAUAGACUGCCACCCAGCCCUUCAGAUGAGUGUCUAAACUGCAUCUCCUCUUGAGCAGAUAUUGAAAGCAUGGAACUAUGCAUCUCCCAAACUUUGUCCUUUAUGCUUGUCUUUAUAGUUUCCAUGCUCUUAGUCUUGUCCUCUCUUUAAGAAGAUCCUCUCAAAACAAAGUAUAUUAAGAGAAGACUUCUGAAAACGUUAAUUCUUUUGAAAACACUAUUUCAUCUGCAAUAUAGCAGAGAAACAGAUUUAUGGUAAAUUGCUGGACGUGCUCAACUCUACGUAACUCAGAACUUCCAGAAAAUUUAUCUAUAGGAUUUUCUUGAACAAAUGAAAACACGUUUUAACUAGGGAAAUUAAGUAAUUUCCUCCUUGCUGUGAUACCACUUUAUUAAUUGCUCUGUAUAAAAUCUGGCUAGAUAUAAAGCUAAAUAGGCUAUCAGAAUAAUUUCAAAUGAGACAAUGGAAAAUCAAAUAUUUUCCUGUGAGCUAAAUUCAGUUUUGUUUUGACUUGGCUUUGUUUUCCCCUAAAUAAACAGGGUGUGAACUCCAGCCAAUUUUCCUUUUGAUUUUAACUGCUACUCUGGAAUCUCUUCCUAGGAGCUAACUAGUCAAAGGAUACCUCCUGCUAUAAGAUAUGGUUUGUAUGUACUUGUUCGCUGAGGAUGUAGGGUUUUUCAUUUCUAGCCUUGUGAUAACUAACACUGCUCACGUUAUUUGUGAGAAUUAUUAUUUUAGGACAGGUAUCAGUGACUGGAGUGUUGUUUGUGUAGCAGUGGUAUUGUUGUCCCUAUGAACUGGGACUGCUGGGUCCCACACAGAGCUGACCUACAGCAGGACAAAUUACCUGCUGAAGGAAUUUAUGCUACAAAAACGUAAAGGAUGGAUGAUGUUUCUGAGUGAUCAGGGCUUUGCGUGGGUUGAGGAGCAGCCAGCCACUUCGAGUGCAGGUGGAGCAGUGGAAAAGGAGAAGUGAUGCCAGGUUUUAAAAACUGGUUCAGAAACUACUGCCUGAGUACCUCUGGGCAUGUUAGAAAUUAUGUGUCUCCGCUGAGUCUCUGGUGACUUGUUGCUACAAACUCAGCAAGUGUUAGUGGAACUACUCUGACACUGAGAAAAUCACCACAGCUGACCAGUGGCAAAAGACAAAAUGGUGGCAGCAGUCACUGUAUGCUGAGGAGGCUGUGAAGCUACUGAGGUAUCAGGGGUGCUUGAGGGGGUUUCUGGGCCCUGCCAUGCUGUGGGCAUGGAGGUACCAGUCAGCAGGUGAUUGGAAGAAGAGGCAUUCGUGGAAAUCUCCCUCCUAGGUCAGAUCAACCACGGCCUCAUAGGAUGUGCAGCAUCAGGAUGAACUCUGUGAAGAAACAGCACUGAGUUGUAGUCAUAGGUGACAUCUACAGAGUUGAAAAUCCAGUCUAACUCCUGAGGCGUCACUCUUUGAGUUCAGGACUUGAUAGGAAGAUGACAAAAGCUUCAGUCAAAACUGCUUCCAUCCAAUUUUAUUCUGUUUAACUGUUGCUAAAGUACAGUAGAAAGCUGCUCAGAAGGUUUAUGCAUACAGCUUGUGUCUUUGAAAAAGCUUACUGUGUUGUCAUGUGCAAAACAGGAAAUGUGUAAUGGUUCAAACCCGGGAGAAGCUGAUCCAGGGCAAACUCUCCUGACCUCAUGAAAAACACAUCCAUCUGAACCUCACAGUGAAAUGCAAACAUACAGGCUAACCACAGAAGUUAAGAAAUAUCCUUGCCUGCAUUGUAUUGCUUUAAUGUGGAAAAUUUUAACAUGAGUAGCGGAGCAACAAGUAACACUGCCUGCAAGCUGAUGCCACCAUGAGACUGUCCUCGUGGUGAUGGUAGUGCUUUUCUCAGAAGCAAUAUCCUACUCUAAGUUGCUUUCAUUUUGCAGGUAAAGUUAUACUACUAGAUACUAUUAGUAAACACAGAGAGUAAGAAAAAUGUAAGUGCAAAGGAGAGUGGGGGGAAUGGAGAGAGAGAGAUGAUGAUGAAAGCUAACCUGAGCAGAUCCUUGGUUAUAAGUGAGUAAAUAUUUUAUCCAGAACAGACACCUUUGUCCAGAAGAUGUCAUAUCUGGAAAAUGCCAGAUCUCCUCUGAAGGCAAUCUGUGUAAACUCGCAUGUGUCAGAAUGAGUAUCAGGCAUUCUUAAAGACAAGAAAGACUUCAAACUUAUCCUGCGCAGGUAUAACAGUAGAGUCCAAAUGAUGGUCCUAGUGGUAUCUGAGGUCACAUGCUUUAUGAUAAAAGGCCCAACUUGUAUUUCUCAUUAUAUUAAAAUUAAAGGUGGAUUAUACCACUUGAAACUUGGACAGCUAUAUUCUAUUUUUCACAUAACUUACCUGUUACAAUUAUUUCUUCUGAAAAGAUGGGGAAAUACGUUCAGAGUGAGAAACCACUUAAACUCUGGGAGUCCAUAAACUACAAAGCCUACUGUGCAGAGAUGUGCUAAAUACUGUCAGACCAGUACUAAUCUCUGUUUAAAGUUCUGGUUGUUGCAGUAGUGUGCGUUUUCACCUACUGAUAAAAACAAUAUUACUUUAGGAGCCUUUCCGAUAAAUACAAUGCUGAAGUUAUUCGGUGCAACAUAAACAUUUAGCUCUGCAGUUUAGUCUGUAAACGUUUAAAAGGUUGGAAUGUUUAUCCAAAAUGGCCAGACUUCCAAAAGUGCAAAACUGUUUGCAGUGCUAACAAGGAGUAGAAAAUGAUGAGGGUUACACAUUUGAAAGAGAAGAAGACAAAAUCUGUUUUCCAUAAACUGUUAUCUUCAGGUUUUAUUUCACUUCUGAGCUUCCUUGGAAAUGGUUUGCCUGCUUUGAGUUGAUUUCAGAAAGAAUUGGUGGGGAUUAGGAUUGCUCCUGGAAUCUUAAUGUAAACCCAGGUCCCAGUGAGAGGAGGGAAAGGGACUGAUUCAGUAAAUAAUGCUUUUUCUGUAAUGCUUUCUAUAAAUGCACGCUGAUAUGUCAAGAUGAAAUAAAUAAAUAAAUAAAUAAAGGCAGCAGAGGUUGAAGAGUUGUUUCACGAGCAAUUAAGCUUAACUGCCAUGAAAAUGGUGUUUUCCUAACAUAGAGAUGUGGCUGUAACAUCUUCUUUUGUACUUCUAUGUUACGAUACUGCUAGUAAGUCUCCACCCCUAUAUGCAAAUAAACAUGAUUGUUUCUCAGUUUUUGGUUUGGUUACUUAAUGUUUCCACAGGACUUUGCUAGCCCUGGUAUACAUUAUAGUUGUAAAGGGUUUAUUUGGUGUAGUAAGUAGAACUGUUACUUCUGCCUGUUUUUUGUUUGGUUUUUUUUCCUCCCUUUGAUGCACUAAGAUGCUGAGUUCAACCUGAUCUGUAACAUGAUUUGUAUUACUGCCUGCUCUGCUGUUGAAAUCCUCUGCUAAGCCAGAAGGGAGCUGACAACUUCAUAUAGAGGUUCAGCAGCACGGAUGGUAAUGGUCCCAGCAAUGGUUGCACUAAAUUUAAUGUUUUCAUAAGUCAAAAGACAGUUUAGUUCAUGAUGUGGUGAAAGGGCAGUUGAAGGCAGGAGGAUGGCUGAUAUUACUCCAUCUUUUGAUCUGCUAAAUACUCUGCAGUGACUUUAUUUUGCCAACCUUUUUCAUUCUUGCUAUUAGUGCAGCAUUAGUUGUGCAGGGGGCACGGUCAUUACUGGAAGCCUCCGAAUAUUCGCAUCUACAAAAGUUUUGAUAGACAGUAGGAGGACUCCCUCUAUUGGCAAAUUGAUGUGUAACUGUAAAGUAAGAAUUAUUUAAGCAACUGGAUACUUGAAUUAUGUGAAGUCUCACAAAUUUGAUUGACAUAGUUGAGAAUUAAAUAAAACAGCCACAAUCAGCAGCUGAACUGUAAAUUUUGACAUCUCCUGUAACGCUGGUCUGUGUACAUCUGAGUGUCACAUACAAUCUUCUCUCUCCAGUCUUUUUCUUCAUUCCCUAAUGUAGGUUUAUAUUAAAAUUGAAGAAUGAUGAAAUGCCAGUUGCUUAUAUUUUGAGGGUGUUUAAUACUUAGACAGGUGAAAUAGUACAACUAAAGGAAAAACAAAACGUUUUUCUCUUUUACCAGAAGAGGGCUCUGACUCACAGUGUCAUGUAUUUUAAUAGGCUGGGGGUCAGAAUCUUGACUGUUGCCACUGCUCUCUCGUUUCUCUGCUCUUUGAGCUCUGUUAUCGUUUGAGUUAAUUGCUUGAUUCUUUUAUUAUUGUUGUUGUUAUUUACACGGUAGCUACUAGAGCACUUCGUUCAGGUUUUGUUUUUUUUUUUUCAUGUUACUUUUAAACAGGAAAAUGAAAGUCCAUUGUGGGCUGGGAGUGCAAAAAGGUUGAGGCUGACUGUAGCUAUCUGAGUUGGAGAGAGAAAACUCCUUGGCAGCUGUAAGCCACCAUCCUGCCUGUGUCCUGCACUCAUAGCCCUGGUGGCCAAGAGAGCCCUAAGUGGAAGGGCUCUGCACAAUGCAGUUGGGCUGUGCUGCUCCCUCGCCAGCAGGCAACUCUUGCUUUCUGUGCUUUGAAGGAAAGAAGCAUCUACUGAUUGAACCUAGUAGCUAAUAGAGGAUGCACGUUAGAAAAAGUCUAACUUUAGUACUGAAUUUCUUUUCUUCCCUUUAAACAAUUACUGCCUCGUCACUGUCAGUACUGAGAGCACAAAACUGAUUUUUCUUUAGUUCCAGUUAAAUAUCGUGUGUUGCAGCUCUCUGAUGAGCUAGGCCAUGGUUAGAGUGCUGACCUGAGGAGGAUGAGACAUCUACGAAAGGCAAUCUUUCAGUACUUUCUUUUCUUACAAAAAUAUUUCGAGCAAUCUAAGGUAAAAGAUCCUCUGUACUAAAGAUGGUUUGAAUGACAUGGUUUUGCCUGAAUGUAGGAAUGCAUCCUUACUCACUGCUUGUGAAUUUGUUAUUACUCAUACUUAACAUUAACCCAAAAUAUUUGUGUGAAUAGGUCACAUAAUUGACAUCUUAAGAAUAAAAGGAUGCUCACCAAGAAUAGUCAUGCUUUGGGGCUUAUUGUGACUAUUUAUCUUCGCACAGAAGAUUUUUCGGAGCUUGAUUUUGGGAGGAUAUCUUCCAAAGGGUAGGAUUUCACCCGAUAUGGCUUCUAACAUCUAAUUUCUCAUUCUCAUCUACCAUCUCUCUCUGAUAAUUCUUUUCCUUCAGAGUAGGAGAUAAUAUAUCUAUGCGUCUAGAGAUACUUAUACAGAUCUGACCUUUAUGUUUUCUGAUGAAUGUUUAGAAUUUAAAUUGCUUGGCUGGUGGAAUGUUUUGCCCCUUCCUCAUGAGAGCAGGUUUUCUCUGUUUGUGAGACCUAUUAUAAGUAAUAUAUGGUCAUAUCCUAGCAGAAAAUCUGAUUUUGCUUUAUUUGAACUAAAACUUAAAACAUCAUGUCCAGUGCUAACUGAUUUCCAAAGCUGAACUGGUUACGUAAGAAUAAUAAAUAACAUCCUGCUCAGUAUAAAUAAAGGAUAAAUCUACCCAAACAAGAUAUAAUUCAUUUUGGUGAUGCUUUCCAAAAUAAGGCACAUCAACCUCCUGUAUCUGAAUUUCAUUGUUUUAUAGCUGCUUUUAUGGGAGAAGCACAGGAGGUAAGUACAUGUUAGAGAGAGCUCAGAGCACAGAUUCGGUUUCCUUAUAGCAAGAUGUUCAUAAUCUCUAGUAAAGGAAUGUUCAUAUAUUAGACAUCUGCAACACUUAAUCUCACUUCUAGGUUUCUUAACUUCAUGUCUCUUUCUCCCAUAAUGCCUCUUGGCACAGUACGCACCUAAUAUUUGAACCAAACUGACUUAAUAUUUUUAGUGCUACCUGUGUACAUGUGCAUAUAUCUAUAAAUCCAUAGAUAUAUAUAGAUACAUACAAAUGGAAAAAAAAGUCUGAAGUUUUCUGGGAUUUUUUAGUAUUUUUCCGUUGCUAUACUGAGAAAUUAUUUUGAUAAGGACUGUCUCCUGUCAUGUAUUAUAUCAGGUUGAGUAGGCUAUCAAAUUUCAAUAUAGGAAAUAACUCUGUAAGUGAAGAAAUAGUGUGUAUAAUGAUUUUUCUGCAGAGAAUGAGAGAAUAGAAUUUACUAUACUGGGACGUAUCAUUCAUAGAGUCCUGUGGCUUGUUCUGACAGAGGCAGUAGUGUAGACUGACAAGAUGUGAACAGCAUAGCAACAUGCUUCAGUAUAUGAAUACAUGGCUGUAUAUGUAUAAAACACAGCAAAAGGAGAUUUUUUUUCCUUUUUCUCUGUAGUGAUAUAAGUAAUGGUAAAACAGAUUUUUUAUUUUUAUUUUUUAUUUAUUUAUUGUAGGCCAUGAAAAGGUAUCAAUCAAAAUGCUUAAUGGGUAAUGCAGAAUGGGUACGAUGUUAAUGCGCAUAUUCAAAACAUGCAUUCAGAGUCCUGUGAUCAGAUCCUGAAAUAUUUGAGGAACUUGAUGGACUGUAGGUUUCUUAAAUUAUUUAAAUUAGGGCUAAUGCAAGUUUAAACUGUAUCCUGGAAAGCAAAUGGGAAGUCACUGCCAGACAGUAAUAUUUCUGCAAUCUUUUUAAUUCAAUAAUCAGACUGAACUGAGUAAUCAGAUGUGCAAACCAUGACAGAGAAUCAAUCAAUAAUGUCUAAGAGUAUACUGGAAAAAGGAAUCACCAACUUAGUCUAUAUUAUUCUCUCCUAGUCACUCACAAAAAAAAGAUUUAGUCUCAGAUGCAAUCAAGGAUGUCACUAAAUGCAGUCUCGUGAGCUUCAGUUGAUCUUUGAAGGAAUAAAAUUUCUUGUCUGCAUAACUCUAUUCUUUUAUCACAUGCAAAUUUAGAUCAAUCAAGUAUCUUCCAUAAUUUAGGGCUGACUUCUGGGAGCACGUGAGUUUUAAAUACAGAUAAGUCCUCUACUUUUCUAAUGAGGAAAAAACUGAGGAUGUGCAAUAUACGGAAUUAAAAUUAGUUUGUGUUUUACUUUUCUCACAUGCUUUUCCACAUAUUCUUACUAUGAAAUGGCUGUUGAAAGUAUAUUCAGUAAAGCAAAAGAAAUAUUACAGUGUUCUUUUUUUUUUAAAAGGAAGUAACUCUACAUCUAAGAAUAGACUAAGCAGUCUAUUUCAUUCUAUCUAUUUCAUAUCUGUUAUCACACAGAAAAAAUACCCAGGUGGCUGUGUGAAAACUCAGUGUAUAUUUUUGCAGAAAUAAUUUGGUUUGCAUGUGAAAGCAAUUCCUUUAAAACACAUUCUUUUGUAUGCUCUUUAGUGUAUUAGUAAAAGGACACACUGCUGUCCAAAUUUGAGCCAUUGUGAUAAAAAAACAAACUGAUUUCAUUAUAUUUGUUCUUUUGUUCUAUUUUGUUAUUGUUGUUGUUUCUUCCCCCUUCCCCUCCCCUUCCCCCCCCACCGUAUACUCAAAUCCUAAUCACAAAACAGGUAAGCAGAUCACUAACUGUACCAGAAAAGCAAAGAAGGACCAGUAAGAGGAUGAAGCUAUGGUGAACAGCCAAUCUCAGCUUUUUAAGGAUUCCAUAAGGUAGUAAUGUGAAUCAGCAAAGAAUUGUUAAUAUUCCUUCAGAAAAUAAGUUUAUCUCAUAAUUUCAGACUGUUUGUCCAGUCACACAAUCACAGAAUUGCAUGGGUUGCAUUAAAGAAAUUCUUCCACAUGUUGGUACGGAAGUUUUUAUAUUCCAGUUUUAGGCUACUGCUCCUUGUUCUACCACUACACACCGAGAAGUUCCUGGCCUCAUCUAUUUGCCUCCCGCCUCCCUUUAGAUUUUUAUUAAUAUUAAACAGUCCUCUAACAAGUUCACAGUCCAAAAUUUUGGCAGAGUUCAGCUGGAUCUCUAUUUCUCUUUUUCAAUUGUGUUUCUGGAAAUCUUUCAGGAUUAAUUACUGAUGAUUCUCUAUAAGACAAAUAAAAAGGAAAUAAUUUAGUAGCAUAUUUGAAGAAAAACAAUUCUGAUAAUUUUUUCAAAUUAAAUGCAUCAGUCCACCAAUACUUACUUCAAUUUGAUUGUUCUAAUUCCAUGAGAUUGCUUGUUUCUUUGUUGUGUUUUGUUUUGGUAACCUUCAGGACUGAUAGAUCAUCUUUGAACUGAGACAGAAAGGUGGACAGAAACAAAUUUAUCCAUUAUUCUAUUCAAAUCACUAAUGCUAAAAAUUAAACAUAUGAGAUAUCUAGCCUUGAGUCCCUAGUCAUUCACAAAAAUCAAGCUUUAAUAUGAAUAAAAGCUACAGAGCAUUACCUGAAGCCUAAGCGUUACUUUUAGACAGCAUGAAUCACAAAAACAAGAGGCUCUUUACCUUUGUCUCUAAUAUAUAUAUGAGAAAUGUUAAAAUGACCAAUCUUAUUUACGGGUCAUGCGUUGAAUUAUUUAGUAGUUAUCACUCUCUUCCAAUCAAGUUGAAUGCUUCAGGUAUGGCUUGAGGCGGCUGAACUUAGUUGUAAAAUAUUUGUGAUAUUUUCCUUCUAGAAAGUAAGAAGGAGAAAAGAGGUUUACUGAACCAGAAAGUAUCUAUUGUAUUUCUAUUGCAGAUGUUUUUAGCUAAGCAGUGGAAAUUGAGAAAUGUUGGGCUUGUCUAGAUGGGGGCUUGAAGUAGAGGUGCUUGCUGUUGGUCCCUGUGUUGUUUAAGAGCAUGGUAUUCACUUGGGAUGGAGAAUCAAGUUCUAACUCUUCUCGGCCUUUCUCGGAGUAAAAAAAUCUUUGGUCUCCCGAUUCAUGCAGCAAAUAUUCUCAGCUUCUAGUGUGUGUAGAUACUUAAACAUACAUAAAAUGUCUCUGCAAAAGUGAAUAUUUCAAAAAUGCUUGAAGAAUGUUGUUCUUUUUCAAAUCAAAUAUGAUUUGAUUUGUAUUUGGCAGUAAAUUUGGCUCCUAAAAACUAAAUGUUUCAGUGAAUAAUCCUUGGUGGUUUUCUUUCUAUGGGAAUAUGCCCAGCUAUGUGUGAAAUCCUAAGAUUAUGGCAAAUUUUUGACCUGCAGUUGAAGAUACUCCAAAAUCAUAAGUGACUUAUGAACAUUUUAGACUUCGGUGGAGUAUACACAAAACAAGAGGAUGUAUAACUGAAUGAGCAUCUUGCACAGCAAGCUUUUUAUUCAGGCUGCUUGUAAGAGAGGCCUUAAGUGGCCACUUAAGAGAUAGGAGGAAAGUGGAUUUGUAAUGUAAGAACUACUACACACACAGUAAUGUUAUUGAAAAAUUAAUCACCUCUGGGAAUUUCUAUUUUUUAUGACUUAUUCUGAAAAGAAUAAUUUCCUUUUGUUUUCUAAGCAGAAAGCUUUCCUGAUGUUACACAUGUGCUGAAGUCAUGAAAACUUCUAAAAUUUUACUUUUAACUUGUACUUGCUAGUAAUGAACGUGAUGCUGUAUAAAGAUGCAUUUAUUAUUCUAAGUACCAGUUAGGUGACUGGUUUGCUUUCAUAAAUCAGUGUGCUGUUCUUUAAAAGAUUUAAUAAUGGCUGGCUAGUUAAACUCUGAAGCUUUUACUAGUACUGACAAUGAAUCAUAUAAUCAUAGAACUGAUCAGGCUGGAAAAGACCCUAAAGAUCACCAAGUCCAACCACAACCUGACCGUAUUACCCUAACUCUAACAACCCUCUACUAAAUCAUGUCCCUGAGUACCACAUCCAAAUGGUUUUUAAACACAUUCAGGGAUGGUGACUUAACCACCUCCCUGGGGAACCUAUUCCAGUGCUUAACAACCCUUCCUUUAAAGAAGUUUUUCCUGACGUCCAACCUUAACUUAACCUGAAGCAACUUGAGGCCAUUUCCCCUCGUCCUGUCACCUGUCACCAGUGAGAAGAGACCAACCCCACUCUCACUGCAAUCACCUUUCAGGUAUUGGAAGAGAGCAAUAAAGUCUCCCCUCAACGUCUUUUCCCCCAGACUUAACAGCUCCAGUUCCUUCAGUCUCUCCUCAUAAGGCAUAUUCUCCAAGCCCUUCACAAGCCUAGUUGCCCUUCUUUGGACCUGCUCCAGCACCUCAAUGUCCUUUCUGUGUUGAGGUGCCCAAAACUGAACACAGUACUCGAGGCGAGGCCUCACCAAUGCCGAGUACAGGGACAUAAGGUGGGAUUAGGCAACAUUGUCACCAUGCAACUAUAACAUACUUGCUUUGUAGGAAAUAUACCUAUAUAUACU
rnacentral:lncRNA from 1 species